CGCGGGAUUAGAGUUUGAUCCUGGCUCAGGAUGAACGCUAGCGGCAGGCUUAAUACAUGCAAGUCGUGGGGCAGCACAGUGUAGCAAUACAUGGGUGGCGACCGGCAAACGGGUGCGGAACACGUACGCAACCUUCCUUUAACUGGAGAAUAGCCCGGGGAAACCCGGAUUAAUACUCCGUAACAUUAUGAAGUGGCAUCACUUUAUAAUUAUAGCUCCGGCGGUUAAAGAUGGGCGUGCGUCUGAUUAGGUAGUUGGCGGGGUAACGGCCCACCAAGCCUACGAUCAGUAACUGGUGUGAGAGCACGACCAGUCACACGGGCACUGAGACACGGGCCCGACUCCUACGGGAGGCAGCAGUAAGGAAUAUUGGUCAAUGGACGCAAGUCUGAACCAGCCAUGCCGCGUGGAGGAUGAAGGUCCUCUGGAUUGUAAACUUCUUUUAUUUGGGAAGAAACCACCGAUUUCUAUUGGUGUUGACGGUACCAGAUGAAUAAGCACCGGCUAACUCCGUGCCAGCAGCCGCGGUAAUACGGAGGGUGCAAGCGUUAUCCGGAUUCACUGGGUUUAAAGGGUGCGUAGGCGGGCAGGUAAGUCCGUGGUGAAAUCUCCAAGCUUAACUUGGAAACUGCCGUGGAUACUAUCUGUCUUGAAUAUAGUGGAGGUGAGCGGAAUAUGUCAUGUAGCGGUGAAAUGCUUAGAUAUGACAUA
rnacentral:rRNA from 1 species